rnacentral:lncRNA from 1 species
CCCUUGUGGAUAGCACAACAAAGCAAUACUAUUCAAAUAUGCCAUAAGCAUCAAUAUACAUCUAGUCAACAUCAUAUCAAUUUUUAUAGUAAGUCUUGUGAAUAGCACAACAAGCUCACUAAGAUUUUGACAUACUCUAUUGACCAAGUUUGAAGGAAGGCCCUUAUAGUGUCUACAUCACUAAUCAAUCUGUCCGAAAUUCAACAAGAUCAAAUUGAUCAGGUCAGUA